rnacentral:rRNA from 1 species
UACAGAGGGUGCAAACGUUGUUCGGAAUUACUGGGCGUAAAGCGCGUGUAGGCUGCUCGGAAAGUCGGAUGUGAAAGCCCUGGGCUCAACCUAGGAAGUGCAUUCGAAACUUCCGAGCUGGAGUGCUGGAGAGGAAGGCGGAAUUCUCGGUGUAGAGGUGAAAUUCGUAGAUAUCGAGAGGAACACCGGUGGCGAAGGCGGCCUUCUGGACAGCCACUGACGCUGAGACGCGAAAGCGUGGGGAGCAAACAGG